rnacentral:rRNA from 1 species
AACGAACGCUGGCGGCAUGCCUAACACAUGCAAGUCGAACGAGACCUUCGGGUCUAGUGGCGCACGGGUGCGUAACGCGUGGGAACCUGCCCUUAGGUUCGGAAUAACUCCCCGAAAGGGGUGCUAAUACCGGAUAAUGUCUUCGGACCAAAGAUUUAUCGCCUUUGGAUGGGCCCGCGUUGGAUUAGCUAGUUGGUUGGGUAAAAGCCUACCAAGGCGACGAUCCAUAGCUGGUCUGAGAGGAUGAUCAGCCACACUGGGACUGAGACGCGGCCCAGACUCCUACGGGAGGCAGCAGUGGGGAAUAUUGGACAAUGGGCGAAAGCCUGAUCCAGCAAUGCCGCGUGAGUGAUGAAGGCCUUAGGGUUGUAAAGCUCUUUUACCCGGGAUGAUAAUGACAGUACCGGGAGAAUAAGCUCCGGCUAACUCCGUG